GAUUUCCUCCCGGCCCCCGCCCUCCCACAGCCCUUUGCAGGACGUGCAACAGGGUUGUGGCUCGUGUGUUCGGUCUCUGCCUGCUGAAACCCCUUAUGGGAGGUGGAGCAUGCAGACGGACGGGUGCAGGAGCCAGGGUGCAAAAGCUGGGGCGCUGGGCUUCCAGCCCCACGGCAGUGUCCAGGGGCAGGAUCCCGUGAUUCCCGGAGCCCAAAUGGGCGUGUGUUACAGUGUGCUCUUUUAGCCUUACCAUCAGCUGACGGCUUAAGUGUUAACCAGCUCAAUAGACCCUCUGCCUUUUUGCAAGCGCAGAGGGUCAGUGUGACAGUUUCUGUAUCUCAGCUCUUGUCUCACCUCCCAGAAGAAUCAGGUCACACAUGGACUUGAAGGAUGACGGGCCUGUCUAAUUGCAGGAAAACAAACUCAGGGCUCCCACUGAUUCUACAUUACGAACACCAGAGACUGGGUAAUUAAUAAAAAGAAGAAAUUGAUCUGGCCUACAGUUCUGGAGCCUUGGAAGUCCGAGAUCAAGGAGCUGCAUCUGGGUUCUAGGAUGCCUCAUAAAGGCCCGUAGUGUACUUUCUGUCUACUUCACUUAGCUCCGCAUUUGCAAUUUCUGUUAACAUGCAUACAGUUGAAUGGAUGGCCAGGAUCAAAGCUAUCUGCUGUGAGACACAAUGAGAAAUGCUUUUGUGUAAAGAUAAAUACCUGGAGUGGGAUUGCUAGAUCACAUGGAAAACACAGAUCCUGGUGCCGAACAUGAGGACAGGGCAGGCCGAAGGAGAAAGUGGAAGGAGGGGAGCUUCUCUCUCAGCCUCAUCCUUCUGGGCCUGGAUGCUGGAGAGUCAUGAGGUGCUUCAGAGUACUCUGGGUGAGGAGGGAAAGAUGGUGCCCACCACAUGGAGGCCAGCCUAGGUCUUGUAUGAAACCUGUGAGCUAGCUGAAAGCAGAGAACCCAGCAGAGGAUUCUGGGAAGGUCCUGGGGGAUGGCAGAGCCAGCAGAGAGAGGGUAUGGAUCCACCAGGCAUAGGAUGGAACAGAGCACUAUUGACCACAGUGAACUGGGGCAUGGGCAAUCAAUAAACACAUAUUAGAUUAAGCUAUUGAGACUCAGGGAUUUUUAUACAACUGACAUUCCCUAAGAAGCCAUGAUCUUCCUGUCUCAGGAGGUGCAUAAGCAGUGGUUGAAUGUUCAACAGUCAAGAAUGUUAUAAAAAGAGGUUCUUGGGAGAGUGGACCUGAUGGCCAGCAAAAAUCAUAGCUCACAUUUAUUGAGUUAUUAUGGCUCAGGCAUGUGCACAUAUUCUUUUAUUUAAAUCUACAAUAUGCUUUAUCAUGCUCAUUUUAUACAUGAGGAACACAAGGCAUGGAGAGGUUAGAUAACAUGCCUAAGAUCAUGAAGCAAGCAAGGGGGAGAAAAGAUACCCUUCUCACUCCUUCCAGACAGCUCACUUCACCACCACUCCCCACUGUCUCUAAAGCAAAAGUUAUUUGAAGGCUUAGGGACUGGUUUGGUAUUAUCCAUGCAGGGCGGUUUGUUUUGUUUUUCUUUUAAAAUUUCAGCCUAUGCUUAAAAGAUUUCAUGUAAAAAUUCUGUUUUCUAGUUUCUCUUGAAAAUUAAGAAGAUCUGGUAAAACUGGGCUUGAAGACCAUUAUGGUAACAGGCUGCUGAAGCUGAGGAGAGGGCCCCUUCAGAUGGGCAUAAGCACUGCUCCCCCUCCCCAACCCCCCUUUUAGGUUACUAUCAGACUCUGGAAGCUUCUGAAUGUGUGAACCCUGAAAGAGUCCAUCUAAAGCUAAGUUCUCCCCAGGGGUAGAGCCCAAUGCUGGGCAUACAGUAGGG
rnacentral:lncRNA from 1 species